AAUAGAUACCCGGGUAGUCCACGCCGUAAACUAUGAUUACUCGAUGUCGGCGAUAUACUGUCGGUGUCCAAGCGAAAGUGAUAAGUAAUCCACCUGGGGAGUACGAUCGCAAGGUUGAAACUCAAAGGAAUUGACGGGGGCCCGCACAAGCGGUGGAGCAUGUGGUUUAAUUCGAUGAUACGCGAGGAACCUUACCUGGGCUUGAAUGCAUUAUGACCGUCCCGGAAACGGGACUUUCUUCGGACAGAAUGCAAGGUGCUGCAUGGUUGUCGUCAGCUCGUGCUGUGAGGUGUCGGGUUAAGUCCCAUAACGAGCGCAACCCCUAUUCUUAGUUGCCCAGCGGGUAAUGCCGGGGACUCUAAGAAAACUGCCCGCGUAAGCGGUGAGGAAGGUGGGGAUGACGUCAAAGUCAUCACGGCCCUUACGUCCAGGGCUACACACGUGCUACAAUGGUCAGUCAAAGGGCAGCUACCUGGUGACAGGAUGCUAAUCUCGAAAACUGAUCUCAGUUCGGAUCGAAGUCUGCAACUCGUAC
rnacentral:rRNA from 1 species